CUGCUGCCUCCCGUAGGAGUCUGGUCCGUGUCUCAGUACCAGUGUGGGGGACCUUCCUCUCAGAACCCCUAGACAUCGUCGCCUUGGUGGGCCGUUACCCCGCCAACAAGCUAAUGUCACGCAUGCCCAUCCGUCUCCGGAGUCGCCUCCUUUGGCCGAAAGAAGAUGCCUCCCCUCGGCCACAUGCGGUAUUAGGCCGGAUUUCUCCGAGUUAUCCCGCUGAAACGGGCAGGUUGCAUACGCGUUACUCACCCGUGCGCCGGUCG
rnacentral:rRNA from 1 species